AGAAUCAACGCUGGCGGCGUGCCUAACACAUGCAAGUCGAACGAGAAAGUGGAGCAAUCCACAAGUAAAGUGGCGCACGGGUGAGUAACACGUGACUAACCUACCCUUGAGUGGGGGAUAACCUAGAGAAAUCUGGGCUAAUACCGCAUAAUACCUUCGGGUCAAAGGAGCAAUUCGCUUAAGGAGGGGGUCGCGGCCGAUUAGUUAGUUGGCGGGGUAAUGGCCCACCAAGACUAUGAUCGGUAUCCGGCCUGAGAGGGCGCACGGACACACUGGAACUGAAACACGGUCCAGACUCCUACGGGAGGCAGCAGUGGGGAAUUUUGCGCAAUGGGGGAAACCCUGACGCAGCAACGCCGCGUGGAGGAUGAAGCCCCUUGGGGCGUAAACUCCUUUCGAUCGGGACGAUAAUGACGGUACCGAGAGAAGAGCCCCGGCUAACUUCGUGCUAGCAGCCGC
rnacentral:rRNA from 1 species